ACUGGGACCCAUUGACUUCCGCAAGCUCUCUCCAACUCUCACAUGGUUGACCACUAAAGCCAAGCAGGGCUACGCCUGGUCAGUACCUGGAUGGGAGACCACAUGGGAAAGCUAGGUUGCGGUC
rnacentral:rRNA from 1 species